AUUAGCUUGUUGGUGAGGUAACGGCUCACCAAGGCAACGAUGUCUAGGGGUUCUGAGAGGAUGAUCCCCCACACUGGUACUGAGACACGGACCAGACUCCUACGGGAGGCAGCAGUGAGGAAUAUUGGUCAAUGGGCGCAAGCCUGAACCAGCCAUCCCGCGUGCAGGAUGAAGGCCCUAUGGGUCGUAAACUGCUUUUAUACACCAAGAAAAACCCCGACGUGUCGGGACUCGACGGUAGUGUAUGAAUAAGCAUCGGCUAACUCCGUGCCAGCAGCCGCGGUAAUACGGAGGAUGCAAGCGUUAUCCGGAUUUAUUGGGUUUAAAGGGUGCGUAGGCGGCUUUUUAAGUCAGUGGUGAAAUCCUGCCGCUUAACGGUAGAAUUGCCAUUGAUACUGAAGAGCUUGAGUCCAGUUGAGGUAAGCGGAAUGUGUAGUGUAGCGGUGAAAUGCUUAGAUAUUACACAGAACACCAAUUGCGAAGGCAGCUUACUAAACUGUCACUGACGCUGAUGCACGAAAGCGUGGGGAGCGAACAGGAUUAGAUACCCUGGUAGUCCACGCCGU
rnacentral:rRNA from 1 species